UGAGGAAUAUUGGUCAAUGGACGGGGAGUCUGAACCAGCCAAGUAGCGUGCAGGACGACGGCCCUAUGGGUUGUAAACUGCUUUUAUAGGGGGGAUAAAGUGUGCCACGUGUGGCAUAUUGCAGGUACCCUAUGAAUAAGGACCGGCUAAUUCCGUGCCAGCAGCCGCGGUAAUACGGAAGGUCCGGGCGUUAUCCGGAUUUAUUGGGUUUAAAGGGAGCGUAGGCCGGAUGUCAAGCGUGUUGUGAAAUGCCGGGGCUCAACCUUGGCACUGCAGCGCGAACUGGCGUCCUUGAGUGCGCACGCCGCGGGUGGAAUUCGUUGUGUAGCGGUGAAAUGCUUAGAUAUGACGAAGAACUCCGAUUGCGAAGGCAGCUCGCGAGAGCGCAACUGACGCUGAUGCUCGA
rnacentral:rRNA from 1 species